rnacentral:rRNA from 1 species
AUGGCUCCCCGCCGCCGCAGCCCCUCUCCGCCGCCUGCCUCUCUCCCAGACGACGACGACAUGCUCCGGGAGAUUCUCCUCCGCCUCCCCCCGCGGCCUUCCUCCCUCCCCCGGGCCUCCCUCGUCUGCAAGCGUUGGCGCAGCCUCGCCGCCGAUCCCCAAUUCCGACGCCGCUUCCGCGACCACCACGGCAAGCCCCCUUUCCUUGGCUUCUUUCUCGAGGACUAUCCGUCCUCUCCGUUUGUUCCAAUACUGGAUCGACCAGAUCGCAUCCCCGGCGCUCGCUUCUCCAUGACUCUCAACAAGGGCAACCGCAUCGUCGACUGCCGUCACGGACUCGUCCUUUUCAUCCGCCGUCGCCCGCGGCGCCGCCUACUUGUGUGGGACCCCGUCGCCCGCGACCAGCGCCGGCUCAUCGUCCCACCAGAGCUGGACAACGACCAGAUGCUCAUGUUCAACGGGGCCGUGCUUCGCCCUGCCAGCGGCCAAGGCCAUUUCCAGGUGGCCCUGAUAGCCCAUGCCAGACUUAGUAAUCAUACAAGAGUUUUCGCAUGCCUUUACUCACCGGAGACCGGGAUAUGGAGCAAAAUCAAUUCACUGCAGCUGCAAUCGUAUAUGGCCAUGCCAGAACCCAGUACUUUGAUUGGGAAUUCCUUUUGCUGGUUACUUAAGGUGCCACCUGACCUUCAAGAUGUCAUACUUGAGUUUGAUCUGGAUAGGCAGAGCCUAACUGUGACAGAGCUGCCACCACAAGUAAAAGCUCGCCCUUUCAAGUUAAGGAUUGUGCCGACCGAAGAUGGUGGGCUUGGCAUCAUCCAUCUCUCAACAUUUCAGGGCCAAUUAUGGAAGAGAGAGCCUGGUUCUGUAUGGGUGCACGACGGAGCUAUUGAAUUCGAGGAGCUCAGAUCAGCUUGUAAGGGAGACCGAUACCCCCUCAUUGUGGGGUUUUCCGAGGACAGUAAUGCAAUCCUUGUACAGACGAAUUCUGGUGUUUUCAUGGUCUAUCUCCGGUCCAUGGAGUUUAAGAAAAUUUCCAAUAUGGGGGACUUCCAUCUCCAUUAUCCAUUUGCAUGCUUCUAUCCUGGAGCACCAGAUGCAUAA